rnacentral:lncRNA from 1 species
UGCCUGAGUUCAUCCAGAGCCUGAAGAGGCCAUUGGUUCUAUGCCCCAAUGCCUGUAUAUAUGAUGGGACAGUGAAUCUGGGUGCUUUCUGUGCUCCAUGUGGAGAAGGUGAAGCAGUCACUCUUGUCAUCUCUCUAAAGAACUGAGUUGGAGCGCGUCUUUGGAUAGGAGCCGUGCUGCUGCUGACUGGGGAAGAGGUGUGGUCUAAUGGUGACUGAGCCUGCCAGAAUUUUGAAACAGACAGGUGUCCAGAUCAUCUUGGCUCAUCUGGAUUUUGGAUGCUUUGUCACUGAGAAGAUUAGGAAGAUGAGGCUCAGAAAAAUGAAGUGACAUACCUCUGAGUGAGGCAAAGCUGAGUCUGGUGACUCCAAACCGCAGUGAGCUGCUGCAUCCCUGGUGAUGAGACGGGCUUCCUGCUUUCAUACAAAGCUCUCGAGUCUUCUCCAAAGAGUACACCCAAGACCUUGCCCGGUAAAACUGGAUGACUUUCCUCAGGCAUAGGAAAGGUAACAUUCCAGGAAUGGAGGUUGAAGUCAAGAGAUUUAGGGGCACCAAGGGCAAACUUUCUACUUCACAGAUUUUCAAAGGACUGGCAUUCUGAGCAGCAUCAAGUAUGUUAGUAGCUGAGCCCAUUCGUGGUACUUCAUAAACACUCGAAUUCUUGAGACCCUCAUGUUCCACUCUUCUACAGUAUAUAGUUGGUUAAAAGUCCCCAUUUUUCUGGUAAUAGCAUUCUUGGAAAUUGUGCUUUGAGAUCAGUCCUUCUGGGAAAGGCAUAACCUACUGAAGAGGUACUGAGAAGAGUUGAAACCAUAAAUGUCGAGCUUACCCAGGAGAGUAAGUAUAAACCGCUUGCAUCUUUCAGGCUGAAUUAUAGCUUAUCAAGCACACAUUAAAACUUUAAGCCUUUUUUUCCUUAAGUAAGAAUAAAUCUAAGUUGACUAUUCCAGCAUAUGUAUUUGUUUUCCCUACACUGUCUAUAAACCAUGUCCAAGGUGAGUAUUUAUAAGCCUGAGCGAAAACUAGACAAACAAUUCUGAGAAUAAGUGACAACUAUAACAGUUCGUGAUAAGACAGUCACAACAAAGGAAAUGCUAUGCAUUAAGUGAUUUUUCUUGCAAAUCCUUUAUACAUAUGUCAGGCUGUGUGCUGGCAGAGUGAAAGAGAAUAAAUCAAAGGGAAUACACGUGUAAGAAAGGGUUUUUAGGCAAACGCUGUCUUGCAUGCAUAAAUCAAAUAAAUAGUGAUUUAAAAAAAAACCCAAAGGAACAGGAUAGUUUCUAUGGAAUUUUACACAAUUAAGUUAUUUAGUAGUUUCACAACAAUUUGUAUUUAUGGAGCACUUUACAAUUAUUUGUUCAUUAAAUCUUAUGACAUUUCUGGCAAGCAGGUCUAUACCAUCAGUUUAAUUUUAUAGUCAAGGUAGAUGAAGCAAGGAAUUGUAAAGGAGCUUUCUGAAGGUUGCACAGCUAGGUUUGAGCAGGACUUACUUUAGAACUCUUGCUUCCACAAUCUUGAGUUGCAGUCCUGGGUGGAUGUUCAGUUGCCUCUUAGCUCCCUUCUAGAGGAGGGAUGAGUCAUGAGGCAUACCUGGACAUCCAGAGAAGGGUGUUUGUUAAAGGCAGUAGCUCCUGGCAGUUAAUCUAGAAGCACCAGUGUUUGGUAUUGGCAUUAGCAUUGCAGCUGGAAUAUGGACCCAUUGGCAUGUUGACACAUGUGUAUAUGAUACAAACACUCAUCUGCAAUAGAGCCUCAUUUGAGAUGUUCAUAUUGGUAGUCUAAAGCUGUAAUUAGCCCAGGGCAUGAUACCUGGCAGGGGGGUGUGCUUUAAAAAUAAACUAAUGCCCCAGGAUGAAUUGAAUCUAUGAGACUAGGGCUUGGACAGGGAUAUUUUCAAAGAGUGACCAGGUUUUUCUGACUUGUGGUCAGAGUUGAGAACCACUGGUAUAAAAAUCCUUCCAUGUCUGUAGCAGUUUGGCAGUUUGUUCACUGCAAAAAGACAGAUGACGGAGCGACUAGUGAGGGCUCAAACUCAGCUCACACACAGUGUGCCCUAAUUUUGAGGUGGCUUUUGUUCUCAGAAAAAGUGUCACCUAUUGUCUAAUUCCCACCAAGGAAGCCCCAAGUCAUUCCCUUACUCUUGUAUAUGCAUUAUUGUAUAUCCUACGUAUUUCAUUUUCAGCUUAUUUUCACUCCUGCAUGCUUGGAACUUGAUAUACAAGAGGAUACAGCAACAAAACCAUCACAGUCUUGUCCCUAUAGAGUCCACAGUCUGUUGAGAAGAAAAGCGACAGAACAGGGAGCUCCACAACAUGGGAAGUGCUCCAGUAGGCAUGAGUGCAAGAAGCUGGGGAGGACAUUGGAUGGGCACUCCACCCAGACCUGGGGCACCAAGGGACCUUGUAAUGGAGGUGGUAUAAAAGGGAAGGAGUAGCAUUCAUAGCUGAAUGGCAGCAUUUGAAAAAACCUGGAAUUGAGAGACACUGAGGAUUACUGGGGAACUGGCAGUGGUUCAGCCCUUCCUGAUGGAGGGUGGAGGGAAUAAAAGCUGGAGGGGGAGCUGGGAGUGCAGCAAGUUGUCCCAGUCUUCCAACAGCUGGGAUGGCCACUUGCAAGCCUAAUUACUGUACUGGGCUCCUCAGUCUUAUCUUUCUCUUUCCAUCUUUCCUCUCUCCCUAGGUCCCACCUUCUUUUCAGAUACAGUCCUGAAAAGAAGAGCAGAAAGCACCAAUUCCAAGUGUACUCUACUUCCUGUAAUCUCCAGCUCUAGGUACUGAAAAGAAACAAAAAGCUUGGUAGCAGGCAAAGGAACAAACACUUGUAGGGAUGCAGAUGUCCCUGCCUCACUUGGUGCCACCUGGAAAAACCUCUAAUUGGCUCAAAUCCCUCCUUUCUUACCACUUUUAAUUGAUAUGCCUGGUCCUGAACUCACAUUCAACAUUCCCAUCCUAAUUCCUGGACUGGUGGGGGUGGCAUGGAGGUGGAAAAUGGGGUGGUAUGAAUGAAACAUGCUUGGGCAUGAACUCAUGAAAUUACUGAAGCUGGUGGUGAGUACAUGAGCAUUGACUAUACUAGCUCCUCUAUUUCUGAUUACGUUUGAAAUUUUCUAUUAUAAAACAAAGAAAAAC